AUGAGGCGUACGUGAGGCUCUGA
rnacentral:siRNA from 1 species